rnacentral:rRNA from 1 species
GACGAACGCUGGCGGCGUGCUUAACACAUGCAAGUCGAGCGGUAAGGCCCUUUCGGGGGUACGACGAGCGGCGAACGGGUGAGUAACACGUGGGUGACCUGCCCUCAGCUCUGGGAUAAGCCUGGGAAACCGGGUCUAAUACCGGAUAUGACUCCAUGACGCAUGUUGUGGGGUGGAAAGCCUUGUGCGGCUGAGGAUGGGCCCGCGGCCUAUCAGCUUGUUGGUGGGGGAUGGCCUACCAAGGCGACGACGGGUAGCCGGCCUGAGAGGGCGACCGGCCACACUGGGACUGAGACACGGCCCAGACUCCUACGGGAGGCAGCAGUGGGAAUCUUGCGCAAUGGGCGAAAGCCUGACGCAGCGACGCCGCGUGGGGA